AACGGCAGCGCGGGGGCAACCUGGCGGCGAGUGGCGAACGGGUGAGUAAUGCAUCGGAACGUAUCCUGUAAUGGGGGAUAACGUAGCGAAAGUUACGCUAAUACCGCAUACGCUCGAGAGAGGAAAGUGGGGGAUCGCAAGACCUCACGUUAUAGGAGCGGCCGAUGUCCGAUUAGCUAGUUGGUGGGGUAAAGGCCUACCAAGGCGACGAUCGGUAGCUGGUCUGAGAGGAUGAUCAGCCACACUGGGACUGAGACACGGCCCAGACUCCUACGGGAGGCAGCAGUGGGGAAUUUUGGACAAUGGGCGAAAGCCUGAUCCAGCCAUGCCCGCGUGCGGGAAGAAGCCUUCGGGUUGUAAACCGCUUUUAGUCCGGGAAAAAGGGGUGCGAGGAUAAUACCCUCGUGCUUUGAUGGUGCUGGAAGAAUAAGCACCGGCUAACUACGUG
rnacentral:rRNA from 1 species